AGUAUUUUAGCACCCCGCCAUCUCCAAAUGAUCUCCAACUUGAAGCCCUUGUUCUCCUCCAACAAUCAAUUGUGGCACAGCGACAACUUCAAAAGUCCUCCAACCGUAUACUCCUGUUCUAGUCCAACAUACAAUUCUGGCACUGCGACAACUUCAAAAGACUUCCAAACGGAAGUUCCUGUUCUCCUCCAACAUACAAUUCUGGGAUUGCGACACUCUGUUAGAGUGAUGACCCGAUAAAUGCACCGAUCUAUCCAAUAAAGUCGAAUAGACUGGGCCCGGUUACAGCCAUGCCCUCAGAAGUGCUGAACCAGCCAACUAAAAUAUAAUGGAUGUCCUGGAAGGAGUGACAACGGCGAUGAGCACGGUUCAAGUCGCCUUGACGACGCUCCUUAAUUUAAUCCAUCAUUGGUUCCAUCCAAGGAAAUAAUUUGCAAUGCAAUGGGGUUAUUUUAAGCGACAACAUUGAAGAAAUGACCAAUCAUUUUAUAAGAAGUUAUACAUUUUUUUCAAAUUCGAGGAAUGUGCUUAAAUGCCUUAAAAACAACGUUGAUAUCGGCAAUUCCUCUUCAUAGUAUGAAAAUUCCUAUACCGGCUAAAUCCACCAUUUUAUCGAUAGAUUGCAUUCCAAUACCUAUUACAUAUCAUCUAUCGUCCUUUAAAUACUUUGGACAAUAAAAUUUCCCAGUUUAAUACCCGAAUUAGUGGUAAUGAAAGUCAGUAAGUAUGCCUGCAAGAAGAAUGAAUGCUCCUGAUCCCCAUAGGAGCCAAUCAACUCAUCGCCAGUUCCAUUACACGAGAAGUCCCAAUUAAGAGCGGCCCAAAUCCAGCUUCUUCUAAACCCUGACCCCGACACAAUCCCAAGUUCCUAUUCAAGGUAAGUAUCAACAGCAAAAUACGACAAAGAGCCACACGAACAACAUACUUCCAAUAGAAACAACAUACCCCAAAUGACACGUUACCACUACCACCAAACUCACAAA